UACAAAAGAUGCUUGUGCAAAGGGUAUAGGCGAUUCACUUCUCAUACUACUUAAAUCACAAGGGGUUUGGUGCCGACACACGACUUGCAUUGGAAAGCCAUUGAAGCAUCAGUUUGUUGACACAGAUAACAUGCUCUAAUUAAAGAAAGUUGAACAUUAGGAAGGAGUCUACCAUAUCCAAGAGGUUGCUCAUUUGCUGAUUAGAGGCUGCUCAUUUGAUGCGACGUACCAAGGCUGUCAAGAGAAUUUGAAAAACCCAGGAUAAAAUUUUCUGCCAGGUCCCAGGACCCUAUGGCAUCAUGAUUUUAAUGAUUUGUUACAGCAAGAAAUCCUACGCAGCUUUCUUUUUCAAGAGGAUCCAUUCGCGUCUGCCUCAGAAGAUUCUAUGCUAUAGUGAUAUGAUGUAUUGACUUUGAACCAAAGAGAUUAUAAAUAAUACAAAUGUUUUGUUUUAUUUAUAAUCUCUAUGCUUUGAAAGUUUGAACCACGUGUAAACGAUGAUAAAAUUUUGAAUACUAUGUUGCUAGGCAACUGUCUUGCUAAGAAACACACUGCCAAGACACUGAUCUAUGUGUUGUAAGGAUCUGGAGUAAUUUUUUCUUUUUUUAUUGAAUGUCCUUUUAUUGCUAAACAUAAUCUUUCCAAGUUCAGCUAAAUUCACCUUAAAUAAAAAAUUUCCAUUUUA